rnacentral:rRNA from 1 species
AAUGAACGCUGGCGGCAGGCCUAACACAUGCAAGUCGAGCGGAGCGGCGGACGGGCGAGUAAUGACUAGGAAUCUGCCUGGUAGUGGGGGCUAGCGUCCGGAAACGGGCGCUAAUACCGCAUACUUGCUGAUGAGCCUAGGUAGGAUUAGCUAGUUGGUGGGGUAAAGGCUGACAAAGGCGACGAACCGUAGCUGGUCUGAGUGGAUGAUCAGUCACACUGGAACUGAGACUCGGUCCAGGCUCCUACGGGAGGCAGCAGUGGGGAAUAUUGGACAAUGGGCGAAAGCCUGAUCCAGCCAUGCCGCGUGUGUGAAGAAGGUCUUCGGAUUGUAAAGCACUUUAAGUUGGGAGGCGUUACCAACAGAAUAAGCACCGGCUAACUUCGUGCCAGCAGCCGCGGUAAUUC